UCCUCAAGCCAUUUUCUAAUUAAAAAUAUAUAGCAAUUAAACUUUACAAUUUAGCCCCUAAACCUUAAUUAAUCAUUAAUUCGGCUAAAUUACUUAUCCAAAAUUUAAUUAAAUUAUAUAAUAACUAUGAAAAUAUAUUUAUUUAAUAUUUAUAGACUUAGUUUACAGAAACAGGGUCCCAAAACUGUAUUUUCUAACACCAC
rnacentral:lncRNA from 1 species